rnacentral:rRNA from 1 species
UACGUAGGGGCAAGCGUUGUCCGGAUUUAUUGGGCGUAAAGAGCGUGUAGGCGGCUCGGUAAGUCCGCUGUGAAAGUCGGGGGCUCAACCCUCGAAUGCCGGUGGAUACUCGUCGAGCUAGAGUGCGGAAGAGGCGACUGGAAUUCCUGGUGUAGCGGUGGAAUGCGCAGAUAUCAGGAGGAACACCGGUGGCGAAGGCGGGUCUCUGGGCAGUAACUGACGCU